AUUGAACGCUGGCGGCAGGCCUAACACAUGCAAGUCGAACGGCAGCGGGGGAUAGCUUGCUAUCCUGCCGGCGAGUGGCGGACGGGUGAGUAAUGCAUGGGGAGCUGCCCAAUCGAGGGGGAUAACAACUGGAAACGGUUGCUAAUACCGCAUACGCCCUGCGGGGGAAAGGUGGGGACCGUCGGGCCUACCGCGAUUUGAUGAACCCAUGUGGGAUUAGCUGGUUGGGGAGGUAACGGCUCACCAAGGCGCCGAUCUCUAGCUGGUCUGAGAGGAUGACCAGCCACACUGGAGCUGAGACACGGUCCAGACUCCUACGGGAGGCAGCAGUGGGGAAUAUUGCACAAUGGGGGAAACCCUGAUGCAGCCGUGCCGCGUGUGUGAAGAAGGCCUUCGGGUUGUAAAGCACUUUCAGUGGGGAGGAAGGGUUGAUGACUAAUAUUCAUCAGCAUUGACGUUACCCACAGAAGAAGCACCGGCUAACUCCGUGCCAGCCGCCGCAGUAAAAC
rnacentral:rRNA from 1 species